rnacentral:lncRNA from 1 species
UCUGAACUCUAUCUCAAAUUCUACUCUAAAAAAUCUGACCUGUAGUAAUUAUAUAAUCCUACUUCUUAUUUGAAACAAGAACUGCCUAGAAAAACUCUUGGUAAUUGUCUUCCAGCACUUUGUAUUUGUGCUAUUGGACAAAAUUCUUAUAAAAAUAUAUAGAAUCUUUCUUCCUUGUAUAAAACCCACUUCAUUAUGCUACUGGUUUCCUAAUUAACUAAGUAAAAAUCUGAAACAUGCUCACAACUUAUAGAAUUAUACUUUUACCCUUUGCAAGAAUUAUAGUUUAAUAAUGAGGAAUGAAGAUUUGAGAAAUCAUGGCAAAUAUGAGCUAUGAGAAUGGAUCUCUGAGAAGUGAAUAUGUAUACAGAAAUCCAAACACAAAGACCUCUUUCUAGUGAUAGGAGACAUAAGGAUCAUGAUAAGGAAACAGUUUAAAGAGACUUAAAAGAGUGGCCAAUGACUUUGGAAAAGAACCAGGAGUUGUGGGGGAUCUUGAAGUCAAUUAAAGAAUAUAGGUCAAAGAAGGAGUAGUCAGUUGAGAUAAUGCUGAUGAAAGGCCAUGAAGAUGUGAAUGAGAAUGACCAUUGCAUUCAGCAAAUGGGGGUCUUAGAAUGUUCAGAACAAGCCCAGGAGAGCUGUGAUGGUGGAAAAGUGGGGCUAAAAGUCUACUUUGGGCUGAAGAAUAAAUGGC